GGAAGAGGAGGAGGGAGGGAAAAUGAAAAAUAAAUUCAUAAACCAACAGAGGGAGAGAUGCCUAGUAGAAAGGGAUGUCCGCUUUCAGAGCUGUUUUCCUCCCGGGCAGCAUGGUGUGCCAUCAUCCCCACUGUGCCUUCACCACCAGCAAGCAGAAGAUGCCACAUUCCCACACCUUCCUGGAAGAUGAACUGGGGUCCCGGUUGGAAGUCCCCCUGCUUUGCCUGGGGGCUGCUAGCUCCUCUGGGCACCACGUUGAUUCCCAAGAAAAAUAAAGCCACUGUCUCAAGGCUUUGCACCCAGUUCUGCUGCUUCUGGGGCUGCUUCCGCUCUCUCCAUGUGGUAAGGGGGCCACCCAUCCUGCAGGUAGACGGACUGGACCUUCCUCAGUAGGCACCAUCAGCUCUUGACCACAGUGUACGGCCCGUAGAGCACAGAGGUGGCAAAUACAGAGCUGGACAGCCCCUCCAGUGGGAGCUGGCUGGCAGCUGCAGAGCUAGGACACACAACUUCACAACCCUAUGCCCGACAGCCUUCUUCACUGCAGUAGGUCCACAGGAGGUCUCCAGCUGUGGCACCUUGCAGGGGAACCAUGAGACAUCCCAAUGGGGAGAGUCCCACGUGUCAGGAGAUGUUUGGAGGUGGCCCAGGGCAGAAGGCAACCAGGUAGGCUCUGACUCCAGGUUUGAGGGACAUCUAUAGAGUGACAAGGCUGAGUGCUUCAUGGCAGAAUCUGCCUGUCCCCUUUGUUUGUAGGAGGCUCUGUGCGGCUCAGUCUAAGCCUAUAAAGAG